rnacentral:lncRNA from 1 species
CCCGGGCCCUCUUUCCUCUUACCCUCGUUUCUCACCUUUCACCCUGUCCCUCGGCCCGCUUUUCCCCUCCCCGCUCUGUCCUGUCGUUUUCUUAACACUCUUCACACGCGCACUUCCUCCUCCUCCUCUUCUCUUUUUCCCACCCCUACCUUUGGGCCCUCCUUCCUUAACCUCCGCUGGCCCCCCAUUCCAUGAUCCGUCCACCUGACACGCUGGGUUUCAUGCCUCUCUUUCCCAGGCUGUGGGUUGUGCCCUUCACUCCUUGCCCUCCUCCAUUCCCUGUCCUGAUCUGAACUCCUCUCCUUGCCACGCUCCCUCACCCUUAUCCCUCUGCACACUCCAAAAUUUUUAAAGAAAAAGGAGAGAGAGAAAAAAAAGUAAAAGAAAAGAAACCCAAAAGGGAAAAUAUAGCUAAGGUGAACUGCAAAACCAUAUUCCUGCUGCUGUCAGUUAUGAUGCACUGAGAAAACUUCAGAGACCUAAACUUUUUCCAGAGAAGAGAAGCUUUACUGGUGUUCCAGCCCUAAGAAACCUUUGUUCAAGAAAACGGCAGAUGCUCUGUUGAAUCCACUGGAGAUUGUUCUGAUACUAAGGACAAGUAUCAACCAUCUUUCCUGUGAAAAAUUCCCUCUCGUACUUUAGUUCUGUGGAUCCAAAAUUUAUAGCAUUCUUCUACCACCACAGGGGCUCAUAUGACAUUAACAGACAAGACACUUUUCAGAAAGACAGGCAACGUGUUGGACCUUCCGGAGCUUCUCAGAAGACAGAGGGUUUUCUUUUGAGGAUUUAAACCUCAGACACAGGGAGCUGACCUAUUCACCUUAGAAUCCUCUGGGGCACCCAUUACAGUGUCUGUACCAAGGAGGCAACAAAGAACGGCGGAACAGACUGGAGCAGAAGGACCACCCAGCAGAGCCAAGCCAAAUCACUGACCCUCAGAGGCCUGAUGUGAAUGCUUAUGGCUUCAGUCCAUUGGAUUCUGCAGUAAUCUGCCGAUCUACAGUAUUACCACAGUAAAUAACCGAUAGACCUGAAAACGAAUGCAUGCCUUGUGCCAAAAUUGCAGGAAACCUCACCAGGAGAAACAAUUUUAUAUGAGGGAAUGUACUCUCUCCUUUGCAUUUUCCCUCAAAUCUAUAUUUUUAGCCCCUCACUUGUCUCUACAGAGCCUCAGUUGCUUAAUCUAAUUGCUGACUGAACAUCUCCAGGAAACUGUGUGUACGUGUUUGUAUU